AAACUUCGGAGAUGGUUACAUCCACAAAGAAGACCCCGACAAAGAGAAAGUGUGCCCGAACGACUUAUUUCAUUGGAGGCAACGAGAUCUGCAAGAAUACUUUUCUGUUUCUUAUGGGGUCUAACCACUAACUGAGGUCUAAACCAGGACUAAAACAAGACUAAACCAGGAAGUACAGAUACAAGCUCUAAACAUUGGCAGAGACACCCUGGCUGAUAUAGUCAAACACUAUGAGGAGAAUGGGGCAAGACCACGUUUGAGGAAGAAGCACUCAUUGCCACGUCCACCAGCCAGGUUCAUCAGCCCUGAGGAUAUCAACAGAGUUGUGGACUUCAUAAAACACUAUG